AAGCCCAAGGUUUCCUACGCAACGUUCAUCGGCGUAGGGUGAGUCGGCCCCUAAGGCGAGGCAGAGAUGCGUAGCUGAUGGGAAGCAGGUUAAUAUUCCUGCACCGUCGUAUGAUGCGAUGGGGGGACGGAUCGCGGAAGGUUGUCCGGGUGUUGGAUGUCCCGGUCCCUGCAUUGGAGAUGGCACUUAGGCAAAUCCGGGUGCGUGAUUCAAGGGUGUGGGGCGAGCGACUUUAGGUCGCGAAGCAAUUGGAAGUGGUUCCAAGAAAAGCCUCUAAGCUUCAGUCAUACGAGACCGUACCGCAAACCGACACAGGUGGGCGAGAUGAGUAUUCUAAGGCGCUUGAGAGAACUCGGGAGAAGGAACUCGGCAAAUUGGUACCGUAACUUCGGGAUAAGGUACGCCCUUGUAGUUUGACUGGCUCGCGCCAGAAGGAUGAAGGGGUUGCAAUAAAAUGGUGGCUGCGACUGUUUAAUAAAAACACAGCACUCUGCAAACACGAAAGUGGACGUAUAGGGUGUGACGCCUGCCCGGUGCCGGAAGAUUAAAUGAUGGGGUGCAAGCUCUUGAUUGAAGUCCCGGUAAACGGCGGCCGUAACUAUAACGGUCCUAAGGUAGCGAAAUUCCUUGUCGGGUAAGUUCCGACCUGCACGAAUGGCGUAACGAUGGCCACACUGUCUCCUCCCGAGACUCAGCGAAGUUGAAGUGUUUGUGAUGAUGCAAUCUCCCCGCGGCUAGACGGAAAGACCCCAUGAACCUUUACUGUAGCUUUGCAUUGGACUUUGAACCGAUCUGUGUAGGAUAGGUGGGAGGCUUUGAAACCGGGACGCUAGUUUCGGUGGAGCCGUCCUUGAAAUACCACCCUGGUUUGUUUGAGGUUCUAACCUUGGCCCGUGAAUCCGGGUCGGGGACAGUGCAUGGUAGGCAGUUUGACUGGGGCGGUCUCCUCCCAAAGUGUAACGGAGGAGUUCGAAGGUACGCUUGGUACGGUCGGACAUCGUACCUAAAGUGCAAUGGCAAAAGCGUGCUUAACUGCGAGACCGACAAGUCGAGCAGGUGCGAAAGCAGGACAUAGUGAUCCGGUGGUUCUGUAUGGAAGGGCCAUCGCUCAACGGAUAAAAGGUACUCUGGGGAUAACAGGCUGAUACCGCCCAAGAGUUCAUAUCGACGGCGGUGUUUGGCACCUCGAUGUCGGCUCAUCUCAUCCUGGGGCUGUAGCCGGUCCCAAGGGUAUGGCUGUUCGCCAUUUAAAGAGGUACGUGAGCUGGGUUUAAAACGUCGUGAGACAGUUUGGUCCCUAUCUGCCGUGGGCGUUGGAAUCUUGACGGGGGCUGCUCCUAGUACGAGAGGACCGGAGUGGACGUACCGCUGGUGUACCUGUUGUCUCGCCAGAGGCAUCGCAGGGUAGCUAUGUACGGAAGAGAUAACCGCUGAAAGCAUCUAAGCGGGAAACUUGCCUGAAGAUGAGGAUUCCCUGGAGACUUGAUCUCCCUGAAGGGUCGUUCGAGACCAGGACGUUGAUAGGCUGGGUGUGGAAGCGCAGUAAUGCGUU
rnacentral:rRNA from 1 species